UACGAAGGUCCCAAGCGUUAUCCGGAAUUAUUGGGCGUAAAGGGCUCGUAGGCGGUUUGUCGCGUCGGGAGUGAAAACCCAGGGCUUAACCCUGGGCUGGCUUCCGAUACGGGCAGACUAGAGGUAUGCAGGGGAGAACGGAAUUCCUGGUGUAGCGGUGAAAUGCGCAGAUAUCAGGAGGAACACCGGUGGCGAAGGCGGUUCUCUGGGCAUUACCUGACGCUGAGGAGCGAAAGUGUGGGGAGCGAACAGG
rnacentral:rRNA from 1 species